UAGACGCCAGAGCAGACCAUGUCAACUACCUCCUCAACAUAAGUGGCAAUAAUUGAGCUCCUGCUCCCCGUCUUUGGUUGGGGCGACCACGGGGAACAAGAAAACCCCCACGUGGACCGGGAGCACAACUACUCCUAGAACCGCGAGCAACCGCUCUAAAUUACAGAACUUCUGACCAAAAAGAUCCGGCAACGCCGAUCAACGAAUCCAGUUACCCU
rnacentral:rRNA from 1 species